CGCCGGCUGGGUCUGGUCGGCGCAUUCGUAAAUUUUCCUUCGUUCAGUUCGGACGUGACGAACACCCGAAGACCCACCAACCAGUGAACCAUACCCCUCCGCUUCUUUUACGUGGUCCACGAGGCUGCUGACCAACAGGACGAGAAAAUGUAGACGAGGAGGUCCGGUGCGGAGCGUGACAGUUUACUGCACCCUACGGGGUCGGUGCUUGAACAGUCCGUACGCAACGAUAAUUUGGUCUGACUAGAGUUUGAAAUUUCCUCACAUUUCGAACAGUUUGAGAAGAGCACUUCGAGAUACAUGCCAUUAGUUUAGAGCAGACUCGUAGUUUGAUCGAGAUAAAUCGUCGGCACUCCAUCUUCUCUAAAACUACCACAACGGCCGAACCGGAUCAUUGGAAUCGAGAGUCAUAAACCGAAAGUAC